CCUACGGGAGGCUGCAGUGGGGAAUAUUGGACAAUGGGGGGAACCCUGAUCCAGCCAUGCCGCGUGUGUGAAGAAGGCCCUCGGGUUGUAAAGCACUUUCAGUGAGGAAGAACGCCUGGUGGUUAAUACCCAUCAGGAAAGACAUCACUCACAGAAGAAGCACCGGCUAACUCCGUGCCAGCAGCCGCGGUAAUACGGAGGGUGCGAGCGUUAAUCGGAAUUACUGGGCGUAAAGCGCGCGUAGGUGGCUUGAUAAGCCGGUUGUGAAAGCCCCGGGCUCAACCUGGGAACGGCAUCCGGAACUGUCAAGCUAGAGUGCAGGAGAGGAAGAUGGAAUUCCCGGUGUAGCGGUGAAAUGCGUAGAGAUCGGGAGGAAUACCAGUGGCGAAGGCGGCCUUCUGGACUGACACUGACACUGAGGUGCGAAAGCGUGGGUAGCAAACAGGAUUAGAUACCCUAGUAGUC
rnacentral:rRNA from 1 species